GAUGAACGCUGGCGGCGUGCCUAAUACAUGCAAGUCGAGCGAACGGACGAGAAGCUUGCUUCUCUGAUGUUAGCGGCGGACGGGUGAGUAACACGUGGAUAACCUACCUAUAAGACUGGGAUAACUUCGGGAAACCGGAGCUAAUACCGGAUGAUAUUUUGAACCGCAUGGUUCAAAAGUGAAAGACGGUCUUGCUGUCACUUAUAGAUGGAUCCGCGCUGCAUUAGCUAGUUGGUAAGGUAACGGCUUACCAAGGCAACGAUGCAUAGCCGACCUGAGGGGGUGAUCGGCCACACUGGAACUGAGACACGGUCCAGACUCCUACGGGAGUCAGCAGUAGGGAAUCUUCCGCAAUGGGCGAAAGCCUGACGGAGCAACGCCGCGCGAGUGAUGAAGGUCUUCGGAUCGUAAAACUCUGUUAUUAGGGAAGAACAUAUGUGUAAGUAACUGUGCACAUCUUGACGGUACCUAAUCAGAAAGCCACGGCUAACUACGUG
rnacentral:rRNA from 1 species